rnacentral:rRNA from 1 species
GCUCAGGAUGAACGCUGGCGGCGUGCCUAAUACAUGCAAGUCGAACGCGCUGUGGCAAUUAUUGAGAAGCUUGCUUCAAUUUAAUUGCAAUGCAGCGAGUGGCGAACGGGUGAGUAACACGUGGGAAACCUACCUCUUAGCAGGGGAUAACAUUUGGAAACAGAUGCUAAUACCGUAUAAUAACUUUUACCGCAUGGUAAAAGUUUGAAAGAUGGUACUGCUAUCACUAAGAGAUGGUCCCGCGGUGUAUUAGCUAGAUGGUGAGGUAAUGGCUCACCAUGGCGAAGGUACAUAGCCGAGUUGAGAGACUGAUCGGCCACAUUGGAACUGAGACACGGUCCAAACUCCUACGGGAGGCAGCAGUAGGGAAUCUUCCACAAUGGACGAAGGUCUGAUGGAGCAACGCCGCGUGUGUGAUGAAGGGUUUCGGCUCGUAAAACACUGUUAUAAGAGAAGAACGUCAGUGAGAGUAACUGUUCAUUGAGUGACGGUAUCUUAUCAGAAAGGGACGGCUAAAUACGUGCCAGCAGCCGCGGUAAUACGUAUGUCCCAAGCGUUAUCCGGAUUUAUUGGGCGUAAAGCGAGCGCAGGCGGUUAUUUAAGUCUGAUGUGAAAGCCUACGG